rnacentral:rRNA from 1 species
AGCAGCCGCGGUAAUUCCAGCCCCAAUAGCGUAUAUUAAAGUUGUUGCAGUUAAAAAGCUCGUAGUUGAAUUUCGGGAUUGGCGCAUCGGUCGUGCCUCACGGGGUAUGAACUGGUGCAGUCAAUUUCUCACCUUCUGGAGAACCGCGAUGUCCUUAAUUGGAUGCCGCGGGGAACCAGGACCUUUACUUUGAAAAAAUUAGAGUGUUUAAAGCAGGCAUUUUUGCUUGAAUACAUUAGCAUGGAAUAAUAAAAUAGGACGGCAUGGUUCUAUUUUGUUGGUUUCUAGGACCACCGUAAUGAUUAAUAGGGAUAGUUGGGGGCAUUAGUAUUCAAUUGUCAGAGGUGAAAUUCUUGGAUUUAUUGAAGACUAACUACUGCGAAAGCAUUUGCCAAGGAUGUUUUCAUUAAUCAAGAACGAAAGUUAGGGGAUCGAAGACGAUCAGAUACCGUCGUAGUCUUAACCAUAAACUAUGCCGACUAGGGAUCGGAUGAUGUUAAUUUUUUAAUGACUCAUUCGG